GGGACGGAGCUCCGUGGGUAGAGGGCUUGCCUCACACGCACAAGGCCCUGGGUUCAAUCCCCAGCAUCACA
rnacentral:tRNA from 1 species